AACUGACAGACCUAAGUUUGUAACAAAAUCCUCGAAUAAACGGGAAAUGUACACGCUCAAGUGAGUCCUUUUACUUCUUUUUAUACGAAUUUGAUAAUAAGCAUGACCAUCAACCAAUGCUAGAAAAACGAUUUCAUUAAUGAAAAGAAAGAGGGGACACCUCAGCGCACUGAAGCGGCUACUAGCUGCCCGCUACAUUUAAUCAUCAAUUGUUUUCCUGAAAUCAUAGUAUUUUACCCGUCAUUCUUUAAUUUUUUACAAGUACACCAUGAAACAGUCAAAUCUAAGACCAUAACCCAGCCUAUAAAUCAAAAGAAAAAGAAAUAGUUCAUCAAUAAUAAUAGUCCAUCAAAAAAGUCCAUAAUUAGGCAAUCCAAAAAAAAUAAAGUUCCGUUUGCGCCACAAAAAAACAACGCUGGGGCCCAAAAAUAUUAAUCCGUCUUCGUGCACCAAAAAUACAAGAAAGAAAGAAAAAAAAAAAUUGGAAGGGUCUCACCGGGUCGGCGUUUGUGUGCCCGGGCGGUUCCCUUCGUCAGGCCUGGAUCGCGAGCGCCUCGGGUCCGGUCAACGCUCCGUGUGGCUCUACCUUGCCUCCAGAAGAC